rnacentral:misc_RNA from 1 species
UUUCCGUAGGUGAACCUGCGGAAGGAUCAUUAUUCUAUAACCGAGGUGCGAGGGCUGUCGCUGACCCGAAAGGUCGUGCACGCCCGAGUGCCCUCACACACAUCCAUCUCACCCCUAUGUGCACCACCGCGUGGGUCCCCCUUUGGCUUGUUCGGAGGGGGGCUUACGUUUUCACACAAACUUUGUAUGCAGUGUAGAAUGUAUUUUUUGUUUUUGCGAUCACGCAAUCAAUACAACUUUCAACAACGGAUCUCUUGGCUCUC